rnacentral:lncRNA from 1 species
CCUUGUUGGUCAGCAUGGCCUAAUGUUUCCACCCGUAGUGGCCUCGGAAGCCAUGGUGGACGGCUGCUUUUAAUUGUGAGCUACGUAAAUGUCCACCACGAGCUAGGGCACGGGCGUUCUGUCCGACAUGGCCUGGCAGUUAUAGCCCGUGGUGGCCUCGGAAGCUGUGGUGGACGUCUGAUUUUUCAAACUCUUUAUAU